UAAGAGUAAUAGGAGCAGACCCUUUGUAUGAUAACAAAAUUCAAAUAUGUAUUCUACCAAAAAUUCAGUAGCAAUAUCUUGAGUGCUUAAAAGGAAAAUUUAUUAUCAUACUAAGAAGAAUUAACAAAGAAAUGAAUAAAGCAAAAUAAUUUCAGCUUGAUAACUAGUUUUAAAAAUUUGCAAGAGACAAUUAGUUUCUGGGUGGUGAAGUAAUAUCCUGAAGGAAGUUGAUGGAUACAAAUGAACCUCAACAAAACAGUAUGGAAACUGCAACUGGUAAUAAUACUGGGGUGACUGGGGUGAAAUCUUAGUUAUCUUUAGAUCUAAUCAUCAGUAUGUCAAGAUCCAGUAGGAUCAAGAAUGAAUCAAGGGUAAAUCCUGUUGGACUUUUAACUCUUGGCUUUUGUAUGCUGCUGGGCAAAUCUAAAAAACCAGAAAACUAGAGUUUUUCUACUUCUAUGAAAAAUGCAGGUACUUACUGCUGCAAGGUUUAGGGAAAUGACACAGUUAUCUCUGCUUGUGCUGAAAUCUUUCCUCUAGUAAAAUUCCAAUAAUCUGCUUGCUCUUGGCUUGUCUGAACAGGACUGACUUUUUUUUUUUUUUUUUUUCUUUUUUCUUUCUAAUACUGAAGAAGCAGAAUGUAUAAAAUACUCUACUGUGUGAAAACAAAUCGAACACAACUGACAGUUUUCUCUUUCUAAAAUACGUGUUGAGUAAAGCCACUGUCUUUUCUCUUGCACUGAUUCUUUGGGCCCACAAAUGCUGAAAUUAAAGGAAGACACAUUUGAAACUGGACUGUUAUCAUCCAGUCCUGACAGAUGUCUUGUCCACGCACCGAUAGGAAGAAGGAACGGUAUUAUCAUCCCCUAGUGAAGAUAAUGAGCUUCAAGGACUGUGGGAACCUGCAAUUGCAGCAGAACUGAGAUAUCUUGCUAAAACAUUAAAAGGACAACAGGAGAUCGCACUUGAGGGGAGAGGAAGUGCAGAACUACGUAUGUGACUACUUGAAUGACAAAGCUUUAUGUCAAGACUCAUUAAAUGCCCUGCUUUGUGCUUCUUUUCCUUUGCUAGGACUGGUGCGUCAUUUGAAUGUUUUAUCUUGCCUGUGAACAAUUAUAUUUAUGAAUUCUGAAAGCAGAUCCAAGGUGGAGGAGCCACUGUACAGAGAAGUCACAGUUUUUUCUCCUGCAGCCGCAUGACAUUGCAAUACAGCUGAGGAACACAACAGCCAUUGCUCGUAUCAGCUGGGGGGACUAGGGUGAGUGAAUAUGAAUUUAUUCUCUGCUGUCAGAUGAAGCUGGGAAGCAGGAGCACCUUAGUAAGAAGCUUGGAUGAUGCAAGGAGAAAAUAGUCCAGCUCUUUUCUGUACUGAUCCCUUGUUGGUAUGCCCCUGUACAUGAGAAGAAUGGAUCAGAAUGUUACAAUUGGUUUUUAAGGUCCCAUUUUCUGGAAAACAUAAAGGAACUUUGACUAUGGCAUCAGUCUUAGUGACUUGAAUCAGAGCAGAACCUUGAACUGGGAGGGAGGAUUGAACAGGAAGAGUAAUGUCUGGAGGGAAAUAUUACUCCUGAAAAUUGUGAACAGUUCUUAAAGUACUAAAUAGACACAUCUGGGAUCUUAGUGAUGGUACAAAACAAUCCAAUUAAGAGGUACAAAAUAUUUUUGAAACAAUGAAUGACUACUGUGUUCUUGAGUUUAACAAUUGUUGAAUACUUGAAUUUUAAAUGAGAUUAAACUAGAAUUUUGUACAUGAUCUGUAAUAACAGGUAUUCCUCUUAACAAAUAUUUUGAAACAGGCAGUCAACUACAAUCAAAUACUUAUUAUUAGAAAGGAUGGGAGAACUAGACGGUUCCUGUUUACAAUAGUUCUUUCUUGUUAACGAAGGUGACCAGAAGCUGGACUUCAUGGAUUUUAGAUCCAGUUUAGUGUGGCAAACUGUAGAAGUCUUUAAAAUAACAACAGAAAGCCCCAAAUACUUCCCUCCUCCCAGAAUACAGAGUAUUAUGCUCCAUAGAUUUUGCUUCAGAUGCACCCAGCUUUUCUCAUUUUAUUCAGUAAGCCAUUAGAAAUGCACUUUCCAGUUUCUAGAGGUGAAGUGUUUUAUUAGUGUUUUUAUUAGGAUGAGAUACUACGUGCCUAAACAAAAUAAGUAAUAUAGUUUUCUCACAGAGAUGAGGAAACAAUUUUCUUUUUAAUUAUAGAAAUAACUGGACCAUAGUAAAUAUAAAUUUUGUACUCAAACAAGAAAAUUAUAAGUACUGUUAAUAUCUUGCUUUACUCUUAAUGUGUGAUACAAGUAUCCAAUUAAGGAAUUCUCCUACCCAUUUAUAUUAACUAUCGUUUGUCAAUAAAUAAAACUAUUUAUUUAUCUUUUACGAUUUUGUUAAUGAAUAUAUUUUUUAAAAUUGUAUUAGUGAAAUGGACAAUUGAAUGUUGGAUAUUUACUAUUAUAGCUGUGUCCAGAUACUGUAUCUACAGCAGUUAAGUACUUGUUGUGACUGGAAUGUAAUCUUGGUGGUUUGGGUUCUGUUGCCUCUAUGGAGCUUUCACUCCUUAAUGGCUUCAGAGACUAAUCUUGAGUUAAGAGCCAAACAUUUUUUCCUCCACAUUACUGCAGUUGUGUUUAGAUUCGUGGCUUUUAAUGUCAAAAGGAAAUUAUAGCUCAUGCAUGCCCUUCCAGGCAGAAUAGCUCAUGCAGGGGACAUUAGAAUGACUUAGAGGAAGUCUGCAAUGAAUUCUGGAAUCAACUCAUCAUAAUUACAAAGAAAAGCAAAUCUUCUACCCCACGUAAUAAUCUUAUAUUUAAGAAAUUGAUAAUUAACUGUGAAAUCUGGGAGCCUGUGUUUUUGCUGGUCAGUGAAAAUGAUGGUGGGAAAAAAUAUCCUCAUGACAUAUUUUUCCUGUCAGUAUGUAAGGAACUUCUAUUUUUUCCCCAGUUAUCUGUGCUGGCAUGUGAACAAGGUUACUUGUGCUUACGUAUCGUAUUUAAUGCUCACCCUUCUGACUUUGCCACCCAGUGAGGAAGUCAAAACAAUACCCCCUCUUACAUGACCCUACAGACAGUACAAGUAUUCUAAGGAAAAGCCAAGUGUAUAUCUCUCAAAAUUACG